GAUUAGUGGCGAACGGGUGAGUAAUACGUGAGUAACCUGCCUUUGACUCUGGGAUAAGCCUGGGAAACUGGGUCUAAUACUGGAUACUACCUCUUACCGCAUGGUGGGUGGUGGAAAGGGUUUUACUGGUUUUGGAUGGGCUCACGGCCUAUCAGCUUGUUGGUGGGGUAAUGGCUCACCAAGGCGACGACGGGUAGCCGGCCUGAGAGGGUGACCGGCCACACUGGGACUGAGACACGGCCCAGACUCCUACGGGAGGCAGCAGUGGGGAAUAUUGCACAAUGGGCGGAAGCCUGAUGCAGCGACGCCGCGUGAGGGAUGACGGCCUUCGGGUUGUAAACCUCUUUCAGUAGGGAAGAAGCGAGAGUGACGGUACCUGCAGAAGAAGCGCCGGCUAACUACGUGCCAGCAGCCGCGGUAAUACGUAGGGCGCAAGCGUUGUCCGGAAUUAUUGGGCGUAAAGAGCUCGUAGGCGGUUUGUCGCGUCUGCUGUGAAAGCCCGGGGCUCAACCCCGGGUCUGCAGUGGGUACGGGCAGACUAGAGUGCAGUAGGGGAGACUGGAAUUCCUGGUGUAGCGGUGAAAUGCGCAGAUAUCAGGAGGAACACCGAUGGCGAAGGCAGGUCUCUGGGCUGUUACUGACGCUGAGGAGCGAAAGCAUGGGGAGCGAACAGGAUUAGAUACCCUGGUAGUCCAUGCCGUAAACGUUGGGCACUAGGUGUGGGGGACAUUCCACGUUUUCCGCGCCGUAGCUAACGCAUUAAGUGCCCCGCCUGGGGAGUACGGCCGCAAGGCUAAAACUCAAAGGAAUUGACGGGGGCCCGCACAAGCGGCGGAGCAUGCGGAUUAAUUCGAUGCAACGCGAAGAACCUUACCAAGGCUUGACAUUCACCGGACCGCCCCAGAGAUGGGGUUUCCCUUCGGGGCUGGUGGACAGGUGGUGCAUGGUUGUCGUCAGCUCGUGUCGUGAGAUGUUGGGUUAAGUCCCGCAACGAGCGCAACCCUCGUUCUAUGUUGCCAGCACGUGAUGGUGGGGACUCAUAGGAGACUGCCGGGGUCAACUCGGAGGAAGGUGGGGAUGACGUCAAAUCAUCAUGCCCCUUAUGUCUUGGGCUUCACGCAUGCUACAAUGGCCGGUACAAAGGGUUGCGAUACUGUGAGGUGGAGCUAAUCCCAAAAAGCCGGUCUCAGUUCGGAUUGAGGUCUGCAACUCGACCUCAUGAAGUCGGAGUCGCUAGUAAUCGCAGAUCAGCAACGCUGCGGUGAAUACGUUCCCGGGCCUUGUACACACCGCCCGUCAAGUCACGAAAGUUGGUAACACCCGAAGCCGGUGRCCUAACCCCUUGUGGGAGGGAGCCGUCGAAGGUGGGACUGGCGAUUGGGACUAAGUCGUAACAAG
rnacentral:rRNA from 1 species